GAUGAACGCUAGCGGCAGGCUUAAUACAUGCAAGUCGAGGGGGCAGCAAUGUCACCGGCGAACGGGUGCGUAACGCGUAUGCAACCUACCUACAUCAGGGGGAUAGCCCUAGGAAACUGGGAUUAACACCGCAUAAUAUAAGCUACGGCAUCGUAACUUAUUGAAAUAUUUAUAGGAUGUAGAUGGGCAUGCGUAGGAUUAGCUAGUUGGUAAGGUAACGGCUUACCAAGGCUACGAUCCUUAGGGGCUCUGAGAGGAGUAUCCCCCACACUGGCACUGGGAUACGGGCCAGACUCCUACGGGAGGCAGCAGUAGGGAAUACUGGGCAAUGGAGGCAACUCUGACCCAGCCAUGCCGCGUGCAGGAAGACGGUCCUCUGGAUUGUAAACUGCUUUUGAGUGGGAAGAAUGUGCUUCUUGCGAGGAGUAAUGACGGUACCAUUAGAAUAAGCCACGGCUAACUACGUGCCAGCAGCCGCCGCCG
rnacentral:rRNA from 1 species